AGUUAUAUUAAUGAAUAAUUGUUUUAGUUUUUAGAUAUACUUACAUAUAUAUUUUUUUCUUUUAUUAACAUUUUUAGAAUUGUAUUAGGAUUGUCUCGUCUGUACCAUCUGUUUACGAGUACAGACUAACGGUUUGGCUCAUAACCUAGGGACACUCCUAUUUGCCAUUGUAAAUACUAUCAAAAUGAACAUUAUUGUUUAAUUUAAUAUUUGGCAAAUGAAAAGUAUUUGAAUUUGAAUUACAGAUUCAUCACUGGCAAGGUGAAGCGCUGGCAUGUCGCACUUAGAAUUACAUCAGCCAAGAAAACAACGUGAUGAAGCAAUUUGCAAGAAUUUCUAAACUGGCUUGAGGAAUACACAUAAUACAAUCUGUUCCAAUGUAGAGAUUUUAUGUCAAUUUUCUCAGCAAUAAUCCCUGAAGCUGAAUUGUCAUUUGGCAGAAGGAAUUGGAGAAAAAAUCUAGACAUAAAAUGCUAAAAAAGUGAGAAAAUUUUUUGCAGAUGAAAAAGUAAUUUGCAGAACAAAAGAUAGGGUAUCUUUGCUGAGAUAAAAGUUUAGCCAGAGGGUACCAUUACUAUGUCUCAAGAUGAUUUUCUGAAGAACAGUAACAAUAAACGAGAAUUUAUUAAUCUUCUUAAGACUUGUCUGGUUGAAGCAGGCAUCCAAGCACAAGCAGAAAGGGAUGCAGACAAUCUAAUUGUUAAAACCGUUGUAGAUGGAAAAAGAUAAAUACAUAAAUACCUUAUAUUGGUUGUA